rnacentral:tRNA from 1 species
GCCUGGGUGGCGGAAUUGGUAGACGCAAGGGACUUAAAAUCCCUCGGUCCUGAGUGGCUGUGCGGGUUCGAUUCCCGCCCCAGGCA